rnacentral:rRNA from 1 species
UACGUAGGGGGCAAGCGUUGUCCGGAUUUAUUGGGCGUAAAGAGCGUGUAGGCGGCCAUACAGGUCCGUUGUGAAAACUGGAGGCUUAACCUCCAGACGUCGAUGGAAACCGUAUGGCUAGAGUCCGGAAGAGGAGAGUGGAAUUCCUGGUGUAGCGGUGAAAUGCGCAGAUAUCAGGAAGAACACCCGUGGCGAAGGCGGCUCUCGUGGGACGGUACUGACGCUGAGACGACGAAAGCGGUGGGGAGCGAAACAGG